AUUAUCAUCCAAGGCCAUAAUGUGAAUUUUGGUGGUGAGAAUUGAUUUGGUCCGAGAAUUCUGUGGACGCAUGGUGGAGGAUGCGAAGGUGGCGGAGGAAACAGAGAAGACACAGGAAACGAGGGAAACAGAGAAAACAGAAGAGAUAAAAUUGAGGUGUCAUGUUGGAGAUUGAAGUUUGGCGAAGUUUGUGAUCGAAUAAAUCGUGGCGUGCCUUUUCCGGCAAGGGAAUAAUUGAAUUGUGGAGUGAAGAAAUAAAAAACUGCAUCGUUUCCAUUUGCAGAAAAUCGAAUCGGAGAAAUGGAUGGAAUAGAAUAAUUACUGAAACACUCCUAUGGUUUUGUGUAAAUAACAUUUGAGUACAUAUUUUCUUUUUAUUUUUAUUUUUUAAAAAAAAAA